GCAGUGGACAAGAUUUUAAGGAUCAUCGUCUAAGAGAAGAUGUUAUGAACUGGAAGUUCCAGGGGGCAGUCUUUGAAUAACUGAUCUUUGGGGUUCCUUGAAAUUACACCUUCUGCUCUGCUGGACAGUGCCAGACUUAUAAACAGGGUGGGUGCUGAAAUACGGAAAAAUCCUGCUGCCUUAGGUACUUGAAGAACUUGAUUCUGUGACAAGAAGGAUGAAAGGAAAUGGAAUGAUUCGUCAUCCAUCAAGAAGGACAAUCAAAACUAAAUGUGCCAUUGUGGGAACAUCAGGAUACAAAGGGUAUGGUUAAUGACACUCUCAUACCCGGGAAGGUGCUAUUCUCAAGAACGUUCACCCCAUCAGCUUGAAUGCUGCAAGAAGAGGAUAAAACUGGAAUGCAAGAAAAAAAUUCCCUUUCUUUUUGCCGUUUGAACUCUGACAAAGCUGGAGCUACGAAACAGAAGCAGAAAUCCCCAGAGUCAACCUGGGUUAACCCUC